CAAACGACUCUCGGCAACGGAUAUCUCGGCUCACGCAUCGAUGAAGAACGUAGCAAAGUGCGAUACUUGGUGUGAAUUGCAGAAUCCCGUGAACCAUCGAGUUUUUGAACGCAAGUUGCGCCCGAAGCCAUUCGGCUGAGGGCACGUCUGCCUGGGCGUCACAC
rnacentral:rRNA from 1 species